GACGAACGCUGGCGGCGUGCUUAACACAUGCAAGUCGAACGGAAAGGCCCUGCUUUUGUGGGUGCUCGAGUGGCGAACGGGUGAGUAACACGUGAGUAACCUGCCCUUGACUUUGGGAUAACUUCAGGAAACUGGGGCUAAUACCGGAUAGGAGCUCCUGCUGCAUGGUGGGGGUUGGAAAGUUUCGGCGGUUGGGGAUGGACUCGCGGCUUAUCAGCUUGUUGGUGGGGUAGUGGCUUACCAAGGCUUUGACGGGUAGCCGGCCUGAGAGGGUGACCGGCCACAUUGGGACUGAGAUACGGCCCAGACUCCUACGGGAGGCAGCAGUGGGGAAUAUUGCACAAUGGGCGGAAGCCUGGUGCAGCAACGCCGCGUGCGGGAUGACGGCCUUCGGGUUGUAAACCGCUUUCGCCUGUGACGAAGCGUGAGUGACGGUAAUGGGUAAAGAAGCACCGGCUAACUACGUG
rnacentral:rRNA from 1 species